GCGCGCUUAGUUCAGCGGUCCAGAACUCCCCCUUGCAGGGGGCGACGCGGGUUCGAAUCCCGCAGCACGCC
rnacentral:tRNA from 1 species